ensembl:ncRNA K11G9.11 ncRNA
AAGGUGUCUUCGGGGCGGAGACUCGGGAGCAGCAGCUGCCAGCCUUGUGCCUUCUCCCAUAUAAAAGGAGGUUAGUGUGUACGUGCCACGGUCAAUUGAGGACACCAGACGGUCAGAGUCAGACACCUUUUCUUUUUUCGUUCA